rnacentral:rRNA from 1 species
CAAUAGCGUAUAUUAAAGCUGUUGCGGUUAAAAAGCUCGUAGUUGAAUUUCUGGCGGGCGCGCCGGUCUUCCAAGUGUUGUACUGGGCGCAGUCCGCCAUCCUUGUGGAGAGGGCUCGCAUUGAGUUGCGUGUCGGAUCUGCAUCAUUUACUGUGAAAAAAUUAGAGUGUUUAAAGCAGGCUGUCGCUUGAAUACAUUAGCAUGGAAUAAUAAGAUAGGACUUCGGUCUAUUUUGUUGGUUGCGAACCGAGGUAAUGAUUAAUAGGGAUAGUUGGGGGUAUUCAUAUUUAAUUGUCAGAGGUGAAAUUCUUGGAUUUAUGAAAGAUGAACAACUGCGAAAGCAUUUACCAAGGAUGUUUUCAUUAA